UUACGACCAUAUCAAAUUGAAACAUCAGUUCUCGUACGAUCACCGCUUAAGCAACGUCGAGCUUGGUCAGUACCUAGAUGGGUGACCACUUGGGAAUACCAGGUGCUGUAU